GUAUUUUCAGUCGGACUGGAAGCAGCAGUGAGUUAAAAAUGCACACCGACAUUGCCAGUUGGCAUAAUGUGUUGUGAUUCCAGCAGACAGCAAUGGGAAUGUAUGAAGUGAUGGUUGAGGUGAAGGACAGCGGAACUGCUUUUUCUUGCAGCAUGCAGUAUGCAAAAUGAUCCUUUUUAUUUUUAACUAAUUCCUUAAAGCAAAAGCUCUUCCCACCCACGAGUGUUGCCUAAUUGGGGGACAUGGAAAAUGAAUGAAGAAACAAUCCUCAAACAAGGAGUGUUUGCUGCUCCCAUUUCAGCACUAAUUAAUUACUGUUGUCAGUAAACUGAAAGUGUUCAUGGAAUUACAUUUUCCAGAGCCUUCACCUGGAUCUAAAGCUGGAUUUGAGAAGGAAGUCCCUUCCCAUAGCCAGCCACUGCCAUGCAUGUGGAGUGACGGCAGAGGCCCAUGUGGCCUGUGUGCACUGUGAUGUUCUCUGCAUCAACAUGGACAGAACGUGUGGGAAAAGUAAGAAAAAGAAUGCAAUGUACACCAUAAUGCCCUUUAUGUAAAUUAAAGCACAUACACAUACAAAACAGCCCAAUAUGUUAUGUAAAAAAAUCCAUGAUUAUUUGGUUAUUUGAGGACUUGUAUAAAACACCUUACACUGGGUCUGGGGGUAGAAGCAGGGGGAUAGCCAGGAAAUCAGGGGUAAAAGGGAAAACAAUACAGCAGGAGAGGAGCCUUGAACAGAUUAUACUGAUAAAUGCAAUUGAUUAAAUCUGUCUGUGAGGUCCCCAAAGUAAACAGAAGCAAGAAAUCAUUUGGCAAAGCAAAUAGCCUCUUGUACUGUACAGAGGGUGAUCUUUAAAUGCUGGCCCUAAGCUUAAGGCAGAGAAGUUUCAUGAUGGGAAACCAGGUCAGGAAAGAUAGAAGCAGAAUGGAGGAGAAAAGAAAGAAAGAAAGAGAAGAAGAAAGAAAGAAGGAAGGAAGGAAGGAGGGAGGGAAGGAGAGGCAAAGAGAAAGAGAGAGACACAAAGAGAAGAGAGAAGAAAGGAAGAAAGAAGAAAGAAAGAAAGGAAGAAAGAAAGAAAGAAAGAAAGAAAGAAAGAAAGAAAGAAAGAAAGAAAGAAAGAAAAGAAAAGAAGAAAAUACACAGAGAGGCAGAGAAACAGUAGGAAAGAGGGAAGGAGGAAGGAAGGAAGGAGGGAAGGAAUGAAGGAAGGGAGGGAGGGAGGGAAGGAGGGAAGGGAAGGGAAGGGAAGGAAGGAAGGGAAGGAAGGAAGAUGACCAACCUAAGUGAACUCUGGGAACAACGGUGAAUGUUUGUGUUUAUAUAAACAUGUUACUUUAAGAUGGUUGACUCCUUACAGACAAAGGCCAUAUUUUCA
rnacentral:lncRNA from 1 species